rnacentral:rRNA from 1 species
ACGCUCGACACCUACGGGAGGCAGCAGUGGGGAAUAUUGCACAAUGGGGGAAACCCUGAUGCAGCGACGCCGCGUGGAGGAAGAAGGUCUUCGGACUGUAAACUCCUGUUGUUGGGGAAAAAGAGGAUGGUACCCAACAAGGAAGUGACGGCUAACUACGUGCCGGCAGCCGCGGUAAUCUGAGCGGGCUGGCAAGGC